rnacentral:rRNA from 1 species
AUUGAACGCUGGCGGCAGGCUUAACACAUGCAAGUCGAGCGGGGUGAUGGUGCUUGCACUAUCACUUAGCGGCGGACGGGUGAGUAAUGCUUAGGAAUCUGCCUAUUAGUGGGGGACAACAUCUCGAAAGGGAUGCUAAUACCGCAUACGUCCUACGGGAGAAAGCAGGGGAUCACUUGUGACCUUGCGCUAAUAGAUGAGCCUAAGUCGGAUUAGCUAGUUGGUGGGGUAAAGGCCUACCAAGGCGACGAUCUGUAGCGGGUCUGAGAGGAGGAUCCGCCACACUGGGACUGAGACACGGCCCAGACGCCUACGGGAGGCAGCAGUGGGGAAUAUUGGACAAUGGGGGGAACCCUAAUCCAGCCAUGCCGCGUGUGUGAAGAAGGCCUUAUGGUUGUAAAGCACUUUAAGCGAGGAGGAGGCUCUUUUGGUUAAUACCCAAGAUGAGUGGACGUUACUCGCAGAAUAAGCACCGGCUAACUCUGUGCCAGCAGCCGCCGUAA